CUCAACUGAAGAAUGAAAGCUUGUUGUCUGUUGCAGUGAUGCUCACAGGCUGCAUAAUCAAACUUAGAGCCAGUUAACUAGCAUGUCACUGCCUAUCACCCAACAAGGCUGAUUGAAAUAAUCCAUGUAAAAUGCUCAGUGGAGUGCAUGAUACAAGACUAGAAGCUCAGGAGCUUUCUUCAGUCUUUUAUUAAGAACAAAAUGACCAGCAGGAGAAUGAUGUGAAAUUCACUGAGACCUAAAUGAAAUGACACACAAGCCUGAAAGAUGAAAGAUACAGUGUUUAUGCUUCUCCCUAGGAAGAGCCAUAGGCCUUGGGCCCCACCAAGGUAAUUCUGGACCCUAGCCCCAGGUCCCUUUCUUGUGAUGAUAGAAUUCUUUUGAGGCUUUGCACAUGUUCUUGGAGAGCCAUUAUCAUUUUCCUCUUUGCCCCCAUAUGACUCUCCAGCUGCUACAUAUUGAGCAUGCUUAGUGUCUUUCUAUCACCCCUUGACUGCCUUUCUGAAUGUUGGUAUUUCUUUCCUCGGUGUGGUUCUAGUUGCACUAACCCUCAGGAAGUUGCCGUUCUGACUGGGGGAGGAAUCUCUUUCCAUCGUGGAUAAAAUCAUGCUGUUGCUUCUCAGCUUUUAUCCAUGCACU